rnacentral:rRNA from 1 species
GAUGAACGCUGGCGGCGUGCCUAAUACAUGCAAGUCGAGCGAACGGACGAGAAGCUUGCUUCUCUGAUGUUAGCGGCGGACGGGUGAGUAACACGUGGAUAACCUACCUAUAAGACUGGGAUAACUUCGGGAAACCGUAGCUAAUACCGGAUAAUAUUUUGAACCGCAUGGUUCAAAAGUGAAAGACGGUCUUGCUGUCACUUAUAGAUGGAUCCGCGCUGCAUUAGCUAGUUGGUAAGGUAACGGCUUACCAAGGCAACGAUGCAUAGCCGACCUGAGAGGCUGAUCGGCCACACUGGAACUGAGACACGGUCCAGACUCCUACGGGAGGCAGCAGUAGGGAAUCUUCCGCAAUGGGCGAAAGCCUGACGGAGCAACGCCGCGUGAGUGAUGAAGGUCUUCGGAUCGUAAAACUCUGUUAUUAGGGAAGAACAUAUGUGUAAGUAACUGUGCACAUCUUGACGGUACCUAAUCAGAAAGCCCCGGCUAACUACGUG